rnacentral:lncRNA from 1 species
AAUCAAGUCUUGGUUGCACCAGUAGCAGGGGUGUUGUAUGCAUGAUUUACCAUGUUGAUUUGAUUGUUUUUUGAUUUUUAACGUCAACUGUUUAUUUAUUACUGGUAUUUUAUUUUCACUCUUGUAAAAAAGAAAAAAAAGAAAAACCACAUGUAGAGAAAAAUGCUGCAAUUAGAUUUUGCCAAAAGCAUCAUAAUACUAUGGACUUGGGCUGCUGUGUUUUUUUUUUCUUUUCAGCUAUUUCAAUUUAAUAAAGAAAUUAAUUUGAAUUCAGUCCAAUCGUGGAAAUAUGUGACACAGAGAAAGCCGGCCUGACGCUGUUCUUUCUCCUCUCCCCUGCAGAGAAACCAAUGGCGCAGGGUCCCCCAGGUGGUGUUAUCGGGGUCCUUGGAGGUGUCGUGGCCAUCGGCCUCAUCGUUGGCGUGGCUGUUACCGUCUUCAUGAUUCAUCGGCGGCACCACAAGUCUCACACUGAGACAGAUAAUGACCUGACUGACCUCCCACCCGCCCACAAGCCGGCCCCGCCCCCACCCAAAAAGAAGAACAGCGACAUGAAAGGACACCUGACAUCGGAUGACAUCCAAGUAAGAACGUCCGCAGGCUUCAUCUUUAUCCUUACUGGAUGAACACAAACGCUCCAUGAGCCUCAUCCGUAAAUGGUUUUUUGAAAUAGAAAAGAACCUUUUGUGACAAUUUGGGAAUUCAACGUCAUUUGUUUGGCUUGACCUGUGUCAUAUUUCAACAUUUCCCAUUUGUUUUGGUUUUUAUGUCACAUUUAAGUGAACUCAUACAUUUCUUAGUUUUCCUUAGUCCCACUGCAAUCAUCUUUUGAUCUAUUUUAAAAGCGUUUCCAGUGUUUUUUUAAUAAUGAUAAAGCCAUUUUCAACUAUGUCGUUUUCUAUGACAUAGUUUCUGCAGAGGAGCAGGAGUUCAUUACAAAUUCGCCUCUGAGUUUUGGGCGGGACCAAAGGUGCAGAACAACACCUUCCCCAUUACUAAGAGCUCUCUGUUUACAUACUCUCCUCCUAGCCCCUCAACCCCGAACCUAACAUUACGGGUGCAACGAAAAUGGUGAUCAAUAUCAGAGCUAUCCAGCUGUAUACAGAUUCCAGCUCAGACUAGGAAAACAGAGACGUACAUGAAUC